GUAAAUAUAUUACACCUAUAUUAAUAUAAUAAAUUUAAAUAAAUAAAUAAAUAAGGUCCCAUAAUCAAAAAUUUAAUGUAUGAUACAUCCGAUAAAAGUCCAACAAAAAUUUAAUUUAAUACAUCAUUUGUUCUAAAGAAAAUCGGGUACAUCAACGAGAACAACUCCGAACUGGAAUUGGAUUUUUUCCUGCACCAAAUUAAACAAAUAAUAUAUAUAUAAAAAAGGGGGGAGAGAGGGCCGAUCAUGAGGACGAUUUUUUUUUCAAAACAUUAAAUGCCUCAUUUAAUGAGGGCAGGCAAAUCAUAUCCCUUCUGACAAAAGAGAAUAAUUAGAGAUAAGAAUACCAUGCAACUUGCUACACCAACUUGCUACACGUCACUUUCAAUGCCACCUUUUAUGUAUUGUAUACAAUCAUUUUUCUUUACCUCACACACACAUCACCCUCAAAUCCUAAGUAAUCCUAAGUUGUCCGCACACACCAAGCCAACAUGGAUAUUGGAGUUUGAGGAAGGAGAAUUUCACACAAUUCGUAGAGUGAAACACUACCAUCCAACAACACUUAACUUCCACAUCAAGAGGUUACCUCCGUAAGUAAAGUCGGAACAAAAGAUUCAAAUUAAGGAGUUUUAAGCGAACGAGGUGAACCGAGUGCAAGCACAAGCGAUAAGGGAAAAGGGCGCCUCCAUGGUUGACUAAGCAAGUAAUAGCGUUUUUUUUAACGUGUACAGAGUAUAGAAGCGAGUGAACUCGCUAGUUGGCAGCCGCACGUGUCAAGUCACCACCUCCCUUUUUGCUGGUACAGUCGUAGUUUACACGUGGCAUGCUUAGAUUAUCUUUUGGUUGUAAAUAGUUGGUUACAAAUGUAAGGUUAUAACCUUCUUUUUGCUAGUGGAGUUGUAUAUAUGUCUAUAUAAAUAGGUUAAUGUUAUUUUGUUAUGUAUAGUAGUAAAUAGUUGUGUUAUCAGGUUUAGUUUCUUUUA